rnacentral:rRNA from 1 species
UAACAGGAUUAGAUACCCUGGUAGUCCACGCCGUAAACGAUGAGUGCUAGGUGUUAGGGGGUUUCCGCCCUUAGUGCUGAAGUUAACGCAUUAAGCACUCCGCCUGGGGAGUACGGCCGCAAGGCUGAAACUCAAAAGAAUUGACGGGGGCCCGCACAAGCGGUGGAGCAUGUGGUUUAAUUGAAGCAACGCGAAGAACCUUACCAGGUCUUGACAUCCGCUGACAAUCUUGGAGACAAGACGUUCCCUUCGGGGACAGCGUGACAGGUGGUGCAUGGUUGUCGUCAGCUCGUGUCGUGAGAUGUUGGGUUAAGUCCCGCAACGAGCGCAACCCUUGAUUCUAGUUGCCAGCAUUAAGUUGGGCACUCUAGAGUGACUGCCGGUGACAAACCGGAGGAAGGUGGGGAUGACGUCAAAUCAUCAUGCCCCUUAUGACCUGGGCUACACACGUGCUACAAUGGAUGGUACAAAGGGCAGCAAAGUCGCGAGGCUAAGCAAAUCCCAUAAAACCAUUCUCAGUUCGGAUUGCAGGCUGCAACUCGCCUGCAUGAAGCCGGAAUCGCUAGUAAUCGCGGAUCAGCAUGCCGCGGUGAAUACGUUCCCGGGCCUUGUACACACCGCCCGUCACACCACGAGAGUUGGUAACACCCGAAGUCGGUGAGGUAACCUUUUAGGAGCCAGCCGCC